rnacentral:rRNA from 1 species
AACAUCGCCUCUUGCAACUUAUAAGAGGUCUAGCCUGCCCAGUGACUUGUUUAACGGCCGCGGUAUCCUAACCGUGCGAAGGUAGCGUAAUCACUUGUUUUUUAAAUUAAGACUAGUAUGAAUGGCAUCACGAGGAUCAAACUGUCUCCUUUUUUUAAUCAGUGAAACUAAUCUCCCCGUGAAGAAGCGGGGAUCUCUUUAUAAGACGAGAAGACCCUAUGGAGCUUUAAACUAUUAGUUAUUUGCCUCGCAUCUAAAUAUAAUUUAAUGGCGCUUUAACUACAUGUUUUAGGUUGGGGUGACCCAGGAGAAAAAAUUACCCUCCCAGUUGACACGGGCUUUCCCUAAGCAACAAGCUACUACUUUAAGCAUCAAAAAAUUGACAUCCAUUGACCCAGUAUUCUGAGCAACGAACCAAGUUACCCUAGGGAUAACAGCGCAAUCUACUUCGAGAGUCCUUAUCGACAAGUGGGUUUACGACCUCGAUGUUGGAUCAGGGUAUCCCAGUGGUGCAGCCGCUACUAAAGGUUCGUUUGUUCAACGAUUAAAACCCCACGUGA